rnacentral:rRNA from 1 species
UACGGAGGGUGCGAACGUUAAUCGGAAUCACUGGGCGUAAAGCGCGCGUAGGCGGUCUGUUAAGUGGGAUGUGAAAUCCCCGGGCUUAACCUGGGAAUUGCAUUUCAAACUGGCCGACUAGAGUACGGUAGAGGGAGGUAGAAUUUCCUGUGUAGCGGUGAAAUGCGUAGAUAUAGGAAGGAAUACCAGUGGCGAAGGCGGCCGCCUGGAUCGAUACUGACGCUGAGGCGCGAAAGCGUGGGGAGCAAACAGG